CUCCGUAUAAACACCGGUUCACGUACGAUCACCGAAGUUAAACAACGUCGAGCUUGGUCUGUAUCUAGAUGGGUGACAACUUGGGAAUACCAGCUGCU